rnacentral:rRNA from 1 species
UACGUAGGGUGCAAACGUUGUUCGGAAUUAUUGGGCGUAAAGCGCGUGUAGGUGGCCAAGCAAGUUGAUUGUGAAAGCCCUCGGCUUAACCGAGGAAGUGCAUUCAAAACUACUCGGCUAGAGGAUGGUAGAGGAAGGUGGAAUUCCUAGUGUAGAGGUGAAAUUCGUAGAUAUUAGGAGGAAUACCUGUGGCGAAGGCGGCCUUCUGGGCCAUUCCUGACACUGAGACGCGAAAGCGUGGGUAGCAAACAGG